rnacentral:rRNA from 2 species
CAGAAUCCCGCCUAGAUGUAACGAUACCAUAGCGCCGCGGAUCUUCGGUUGGCCCCGGAUAACCGGCUUCGGUCGGUGAGUAGAGCCGUUCGUGACAGGGCUGGGGUGCGGCCGGAUGAUGGUCGCCCCUCUCCUAUCUCGCACCGCAUGUUUGUGGAGAACCUGGUGCUAAAUCACUUGCAGACGACCUGAUUCUGGGUCAGGGUUUCGUACGUAGCAGAGCAGCUCCCUCGCUGCGAUCU